AUUGUCUCGCUCCCUUGAGGAAACAGGUUGCAGAGACCCACAGGCUACCGCAAUUAAGAGAGAUCCCUGCGGACCCAAAACUUGCAGAAUGGAGCCAUUUCUCAGCCACUGAGCAGGAGUCUCCUCCACAGCUGCUCACGUGUUCUGGAGGCCCCACCCCUCAGCCUGGCAGCCAAUGGAGGCCUCGGUUUUCUGCGGGGAACUUUUAGCGUGUGAAUGUGAAGGCCUGUCGCUGGGAAAGAACAGCGCCCGAUGGUGAUGAUGAUGAUUGUCACGAGCGGAAGUACAGUAAGGAGCAUGUCUGGGCGCCUGAUGUGCAGCUACAAGCCAGGGACAUGAUGAGAGCAGAGAUGCAGACAGGAGUCAAGCUGAAGGAAAGCACGUCACUGCAGUGUGUGGGCGGGUAGUGAGCUGGCUCUGACCUUCAAUACACC